rnacentral:lncRNA from 10 species
CCAAUAGUUGCUCUUUACCUUUGAGUUACUUUUUUUCUUGCUGAAAUGUAUCCUUUAGUAAUUUUUUGUUUUGUUUGUUUUGUAAUGAGAAUCUGAGUAUGUUUUUGUAUUCCAGAUAAUGUCUUUAUUUUGUCCUCACUCUCAAAAGAUAGUUUAGCUGGAUAUGAAAUUCUAGGUUGAUAGUUAAUUUUCUCUCUGCAUACUUUUUGUACAUCUGUACUUCCUGUUGAGAAGUCCGCUGUGAGCCUAACUAUUGUUCCUUUAGAAGCUAUCUUUCUUUCCCUCUGUGUAUUAGUUAGGUUUUGCCCGAGAAACAGAAUCAAUAAAAUAAUGUGUGUGUGUGUGUAUGUAUACAUACAUACAUUUAUAUAU